CCAGGUUGACCUCGGAUCAGGUAGGGAUACCCGCUGAACUUUAAGCAAUUUCCUAAAAGGGGGG
rnacentral:rRNA from 1 species